UGACGGGGCAGAGCGCACGACGCCGCCGCCGCCUACGCGCGAGCCGCUACAACCUCCGACCGUCGUCGCCGCCGGCACAGGAGGGGGUCAAGACGUCUCUCCAACGCGGGGCGAGCGCAGGACCGCGCCAGGCGUCCAAAAGAAGGAAGAUGCCUCGCGGCGACAGGGAAAGCGACUGGAGGGAAAAGGAGCAGUUCCGCAAACUGUUUAUUGGCGGCUUAAGCUUUGAAACCACAGAAGAAAGCCUGAGGAGUUACUAUGAGCAAUGGGGAAAGCUUACAGACUGUGUGGUUAUGCGGGAUCCUGCAAGCAAAAGAUCAAGGGGGUUUGGUUUUGUAACAUUCUCUUCCAUGGCUGAAGUUGAUGCAGCUAUGGCUGCAAGACCUCACACGAUUGAUGGAAGGGUGGUUGAGCCUAAGAGAGCUGUGGCUAGAGAGGAAUCUGGAAAACCUGGUGCUCAUGUUACUGUGAAAAAAUUAUUUGUUGGUGGUAUUAAAGAGGACACUGAAGAGCACCACCUUCGUGACUACUUUGAGGAGUAUGGAAAAAUUGACACUAUUGAAAUCAUUACUGACAGACAGUCUGGUAAAAAGAGAGGGUUUGGAUUUGUUACAUUUGAUGACCAUGAUCCUGUGGAUAAAAUUGUAUUGCAGAAGUACCACACCAUCAAUGGACAUAACGCAGAAGUAAGGAAAGCUCUCUCUAGACAGGAAAUGCAGGAGGUUCAAAAUUCUAGGAGUGGGAGAGGAGGGAACUUCGGUUUUGGUGAUGCUCGUGGAGGUGGUGGCAACUUCGGUCCAGGACCUGGCAGCAAUUUCAGAGGGGGAGCCGGUAAGACAGAUGGAUAUGGAAGUGGCCGUGGAUUUGGUGAUGGAUAUAACGGAUAUGGCGGAGGACCUGGAGGUGGCAACUUUGGUGGCAGUCCUGGUUACGGAGGAGGAAGAGGAGGCUAUGGUGGAGGAGGACCUGGUUAUGGCAACCAGGGUGGGGGCUAUGGAGGUGGUUAUGACAACUAUGGAGGAGGCAAUUACGGAAGUGGAAACUAUAAUGAUUUUGGCAACUACAACCAACAACCUUCAAAUUAUGGUCCGAUGAAGAGUGGAAAUUUUGGUGGCAGCAGGAACAUGGGGGGACCAUAUGGUGGAGGAAACUAUGGUCCCGGGGGCAGUGGAGGAAGUGGUGGCUAUGGAGGGAGGAGCCGUUAUUGAGUUUCUUCAAGCAUGCCAUGGCUAUGAUAUGAACCCUGGACAAGCAUAGACUGCUGCCACUGUACACUGCUACAGUUGAACAAAUGAGACCUGCAAGUGUCCAUUAGUAAAGCUUUGCAAGGGUUCCAUCCCUGGUGUUGGUAGUUAAAAUGGAAGGUGCCAUGCUGCAGGUAACUAAUGAAGAAGUGGUCAACCACAGAAACGCUUCAAGAAAUAAGAAAUUCUGUAUCAUCAGAAAAUAGUUGUUUUUGCUGCCUUCAUUAAAAAUCUAGAGGUUAAAUGAAUACUGAUAAAAGAUCACAAUUAGUACAGUUCCCUGUAAUGAUGGGUUUUUUAAAUUAUAGUAAUAAUGUCUUGUAAACCUUUCAAAUAAAAUUCGGAUUCGUUAGGAGAAACAAAUCACUAAUGUUAAAAUAGCAAACAUUCUGUGAUUAGAAAGUUUAACUACAUAUAUUUAUAACUUUCAUAGCUUUAAAAUAAAGUAUUUUUAUACCAAAGUAGUUCUUAGUGUAAUGCUUAAUAAAAACGUAGUGUGUAUCUAACAUUAAAUAAUGCUUAUGUUUAGACCCUUUCAUGAUUUGAAACAUUCCAUUUUGAGGUGAAUUUAAAACAGAAUCAAUUUGCCAAGUGUGUUCAUGGAACUUGUUACUCUGACCAUGGGCAUCGUUCUCUUUUGGGAGAAACAGUGCUGCAAAUUUAAAAGUGCUGAUGUCUUUGCUGUUGGACACAAGUGCUUAAAAGUAGCUUUUUUUGGCUGUGUUUUAUAUUACCUCAUACUGUCCUGUUAACAAAACUACAACCAAAGUCAGUUUGUCAGAUUGCAGUAGGACCAAGAGCGUUAUCUUUUCACUUUUAAAGUGCUUUUAGCAUGAAGACAGACUGACUGGAAUGUAGAGUUCCUGCUGUGUAAAACUAUUACCCAUAGCUGCAUCUGGGGGCUGAAGGAAAAUACCAAACCAAAAAAUACCAAACCAAACAAAACCAAUUAAAACAAACACCUAGUGUGAUCUUGGGAAAGCUUCAGUUGGGUGUGUAUUUAAGGGAAGUUACUUUUAGGUUACACUGUUUUAACCACUUAUCUUCAUGCAUGGUUUAUUCAAAACUUGAAAUUUAUAUGCUUUGGCAGAAUCAUCAUGUCUUUAACCUUUAUAAUACUGUUUAAGGAUUCACAUACAAUUUUUUUCUGUUUCUUAAGUUGAACUUUGAAAUACUUGAAUAGGUAACCGGUGGGCUGCAACGGAAGCAGAAAAUGAAGACGCACAAAUCUACUUUACUUUCUUCUUUCCAACAGAAUGACCAGAUCAUAAGGAAUUUGCCUUCUUUCCUAUAACUUAGAUGUAGUUGAUGGUAGUUUUUUCUUUACAGUUACCAAGUCCACAUUCAUACAUCAUUUCAAAAAACUAACCAAACCACUUCAAAGGGCAGUAAUUAUUUUUCUGUUUAAAAUACUACUUCAGUAGUGUAGCAACAAGGUUUAAAGUACUUGCAUUGAAUGUUUUCCAUAGGGAGGAUGUUCUCAUUUUGAUCUUAUGGCAGUGGGGGAAGGGAGUGUUUAGGGGAGACAGCACUGUGCAAGAAGGAAAUUACUGGAUAUUUCAAAUCUCAAAAACCUGGUGUCUUAAGUUUCCUGAUGUCCUCCUGUUGAAGUUCAUGAAUUUUUUUCUUGGUACGGUCUUAAAAGUUAUGGCAUAUGACAGUCAACAAUGGUCACCAGCAAAUGUGGUGAGACAAGUCAGUUUUGAGUCAACCUGAUACGGGAAGUUGGCAACAUCAAAUAAAAGCAGUAUUGUGUGGUCAAUUAUUGGUCAUCAAUUUGUAGACAAUGGAUUCUUACUUUCUAUCAAGUGGGAUUUAGUCACUACAGACAUCUUCCAAGUAAGUGUGACCUUAUCUUCCAAGUAAGUGUAACAUUGCAGUGUUUCCAGGUUCUAACAGCUGAGGAUCAGGUUGUCAGUGCAUAGGUACCAGAGCUUUUCCCCAGCGAACACUUUGUGCAGCAAACUGAGGGAAGAAAGAAAAACAACGUAACUUGUUGCUAACUGGUAUGUGACCCAAAGAACACCCAAAAAUUGAGUAUGACUUGUAUUUAUAAAGUGAUGGUGAAAAGAGGUCAUUAGUAGGGUUCUGGCCGCUCAGACUUCGUGUUAUCCACAAUGAAAGUUGAAUUUUCUUCACUUCUGUUGUCCUGCAGGUGCUAAAAAACAUUCAAGAAAAUACGACCAAUUGCUGUUAAUGCUGUAAAAUGAACAGGACUUGAACUUUGUUAUGUGUAGGAAAGACUGUUCUUUUAGUUUGAUGAUGAAUAUACAUGAUCUCUUGGUGAUGAAGUGUCAUCGCUUCUGGGGAAGAAAACCCAAGCCCCAGAAAUGGAUCUGAAUUUUCAAACAGUUGUCAGCUGAGUUUGUUUUGGUAGCUUUGCCUCAUUGGUAGAGGAUAAUUGGCUGGGAACGUACUGGGGCUGUGCAUUCCCUGUAGGCUUAGUGUUGUAUUUCAUUUUUCAAGUAGUGUGUGAAGCAAGUGAGCCACUACCACAGUAGUGCUAUUGCUUUUCCACCUAAGGGAGAUGGCUGUAUCUCUUCAUGUUUAUUCAGCCCUACCAUUCAAUGUGUCUAGGAUAGGAGUGUUACAAAGAAGGGUUUGCCUGGGUAAUAAUCCAUUUUGCCAGAAGUACUGUCCCUUGUAGCAGUCACAUUUUUGCUUUGCAGCUACUGUUGGUUUGUGUUGCACAGAACUUUUGUCAGGAGUUACUCCAGUUAAUGGAGCAAGAACUGGUUAGCUCAUCAGCAGUAAAAUUACCACUGUAUAAAUAAUACCUGUGUGACUUACCUGACAGAGUGCUAUGAACAUUAGGUCAGCAGUGUUUGGGCACCUUGUGAGACCUCCUAUGCUGCUUCACUGUACAAAAAAGGGUGACUGGGGGAAAGUUGUAGAAAAUUGCUGUUACCAGCACCCUUCCCCCCCCCUUGUUAGGUUGAUUUGGAGGCAUUCUUGUAUGAAAAUGAGUGGCUGAUGGACUUCAUGGAGUUGUAGUAACUGUGCAGCACAUGUCAAGUUGCAGUGCUUCAUGCGGUACACACUACAGUAAUACGACUUCACAUGGUUACAUCUGCAAUCUCUGUUUGGUUUACUUAAUAAACAGUUUCUCACUACA